rnacentral:snRNA from 1 species
AAGUGUUAUAGCUCUUUUAGAACUUGUCUGGGUUUGCUGGUUUUCACUGGAAAACACUC